AUUGAACGCUGGCGGCAGGCUUAACACAUGCAAGUCGAGCGGGGAAAGGUAGCUUGCUACUGGACCUAGCGGCGGACGGGUGAGUAAUACUUAGGAAUCUGCCUAUUAGUGGGGGACAACGUUUCGAAAGGGACGCUAAUACCGCAUACGCCCUACGGGGGAAAGCAGGGGAUCAUUUGACCUUGCGCUAAUAGAUGAGCCUAAGUCGGAUUAGCUAGUUGGUGGGGUAAAGGCCUACCAAGGCGACGAUCUGUAGCGGGUCUGAGAGGAUGAUCCGCCACACUGGGACUGAGACACGGCCCAGACUCCUACGGGAGGCAGCAGUGGGGAAUAUUGGACAAUGGGGGGAACCCUGAUCCAGCCAUGCCGCGUGUGUGAAGAAGGCCUUAUGGUUGUAAAGCACUUUAAGCGAGGAGGAGGCUACUUUGGUUAAUACCUAAAGAUAGAGGACGUUACUCGCAGAAUAAGCACCGGCUAACUCUGUGCCAGCAGCCGCGGUAAUACAGAGGGUGCGAGCGUUAAUCGGAUUUACUGGGCGUAAAGCGUACGUANGCGGCUUUUUAAGUCGGAUGUGAAAUCCCUGAGCUUUAACUUANGAAUUGC
rnacentral:rRNA from 1 species